GCUUUACAUAAAAAAUUCCCAAGUGUGCACCUUAAAUUAUCACAGCAGACAAACCUCUCUUUUGGUACCUGUAUCGGUCAGUGCUUACAAAAGCUUGCAGCACCAGGCUCCUGAAAAGACUGCACACGCUCUGAAUCACAGGUAACACAGGACACAAAUUUACACGAUUGUCCGAAAAUGGCCAUCCACAGAGCCAAAGGUAGAAGAGUGCAAAAUUCCAUUUUAUGCUGGAGAUCCAGAGGAUCCAGCCAAAGCCAGGAGAUGAUGGGGCCAAGGUAAAGGUGAGGACCAGAGCUCUUCCGAAGAGAACAACAGAAGCUCCUCUGAGGAAAAUCAGCCACAGCAAAGCUCUUCCAAGGAAAAUCAGCAGAAAUACUUCACUUUCAUCCUUUGUCAGGAGAAUUCUGACAGUCAUCCUCCUUAAGGGCCUUGGGACUUCAGCUGCUUCCAGCUCUCUGCUUCUGCCGCAUCCAGGUCAUGGUGGCUGCUUGGACCUCAGCAGAUUGUACCACAACACUGGAAAUGUGCGCUGUUGAAAAAGCAGAAGGACCAGUCGGCCCUGCUUCUUUCUUAGCAUCUCAUUCUACUCAGCCUAUCAACUGCAAUUUUCAAAUUAAC
rnacentral:lncRNA from 1 species